CCUUACACAAGGCAUUUAGUGACAGGAAAAAUUUAUAAUUUUUCAUGUUCCGCUGUCACAUUUAUUAAUGCUGUAUGGCGAAUUUAUCAGAUGCCAUUUAUAUGUACACGGGUAUGGUAUGGACUGAAAUAUUGUUAUUAUGUUGAUGCCAAAACUUGAUAUAAGGGGGAAGUGAUGCAUUACGGGAGGACUGAGCAGUCGGCGUUUGGAGGUGUGCGAGGAGUUUCCCGUUUCUAAAGGAUCAAACCAAAUACAGCGGAUUGUUUUUUGUUCCUUGUGGAUUACCUCAAGACACAACUUUGCUGCCAAGCGGGACGAGUGGUGAGGUUGCGUGGUUCUUUGUUUGUUUUUGUGAACUGCGGCACUUCAUUACGCUCCAACAGACUCCCCUUUAACAUACAUGUUUUCUUUUUUUGCCGGCUUUUGGGACUUUGAUUGACUGCUGGGGGGGUGGUAAUUCGGGCUAUUUUGUGAAGGGGGUGUUUUUUGAUAAUGUGGAAAAAGUGUUUGAUUAUCUGUGAAUUGUUUGGUGAACCGGUGCCCACGCCGUUUCUUGUUUAAGUGUUAUCUCCGUCUGGACGUGGACAUGAUUUAUUUUCUUUCACUAAAGUUUGAUUAUUGACUCAACCUAUUGUGACUCAUUCGUUAAUCUUCGUUUAUUCUGAAUAUUUUAACACCGCAAGGGUGAGAAUUUGAGUUUGUUUUGGGUGAUAAAGCAAAAUUAAUUGAUCUUUUUUUUCGUAUCUCAAACACCUCGCACCUGAUCCGCCCGUAACCUUUAGAUUAACGUUGUAACUUUUCCUUUGGUUAAUUUUUUACAAGGGGAAUUGUUACAUGUGUUGUUUGGUUGCUAAUGUUUUUCAUUCGCUAUUUUUCUCAGGUCUUUUCUGUUGGUCUUGCAUUCUUGAUCAAACCAUUUGUCAGCAUUUUAAUAGCCGCCUUGUGAAAUAUAUUUAUAUCAUCAAUGGCCUUGUUUACACCAUCUCUGGUAGGGACAUAUUGUUUUUUGUUAUAUAUUGGCAUGUUAUUUAUCAGUUCAGGUGAGUUUAAGGCCAUGAUGAAUUUGUCCUCACUUUCUGGGGCCCAUCUGUAAGCGGGAUUUAGUUUAUACAGCUUACUGUCACUCAUUUGACCUGAGAUUUUAGAGAACACAUUUUUUGGUUGUGGUCUGAAAGAGCUGUUUGUUGUCUGUCAGUGAAUGCACUGAUAGUAGAGGGGUACAUGUCAGUGACUGUGUAGUCUACCGCGCUAGACCCAAGAGCUGAGGAGUAUGUGAAUCUCCCUGAAGAAUCCCCUCUGAACCUACUGUUAACUAUGUACAGGCCUAAGGCCCGUCAGAGAUAGACUACCUCCCUGCCACUUUGAUUUAUUUCAGAGUCAAGGUUGUUCCGAUGGGUGAUAGUUGGUGUGGUAAACAGGGGAGAAUGACCAAACACAUGGUUGUUGCCCUGUGGGUCGAUGACAUCAGGUUCAAUUCCCGUUCGUCCAUUCAGAUCUCCAGUUAGAAGCACGUUUCCCUGGGCCUGGAAAUAUGCGAUCUCUCAAUGGAGAGUUUCAAAUGUGUCUUCUUCAAAAUAGGGAGAAUCUACUGGGGGUAUGUAAAUAGCACAUAGAUAUAGAUCUCUAUCAGUUAUACCCAGCGUUUGAUCUAAUCUUAGCCAAAUGUGUGAUUUACCCUGUUUUACUGGUGAGAUCAAAAGAUCUCCUUUAUACCACACCAAGAUCCCCCCGGAUGUUCUGCCCUUGCGUAUGGUUUUUAAUUUUAUAGAGGGCACCAUGACUUUGUUAUAUUCUGUAGGACAGUGAGUGAGCAUAUCAUUUUGACACCAUGUUUCAAUGUUACAAUUACAUCAAUGUCUUUGAUGGAUUUCAUAAAGUCAGGGUUUCCACUUUUCAGCUCAGUGGUAGAGGAGUGGAGACCCUGAAUAUUCCAACAGCUUAUAUGUAACAAAUGCAUUUAAAAACAGUUAAAAUGAACCUAUAUAGUGAGGUAAAUAUAAAAACACCUACAACUAUGUAUACAGUUACUACACUGGAUAAUAAUUUGAUAUGAAAUUUUAUGGUAGCAUACUGUUUUCACUAAUACUACUACUACUGUACUGACUACUACCUUUUUAUUGUGUUCUGAAUAUGUGCAUCUUAGCUGGACAGAAGCCGGGUGCAGAGGGUUUGUAGCAUCUCUGUGAUGUCUCCCAGUUCAGAAGGCAGGUGCCGCAGCAUGUCUCCGCCGCUGAUGCUGCAAAGGGUGUCGGUGGGCAAAAGGUCGAGGAUGGGGACGGCAGUCCCCUCCGGCUGCGCUCCACAUCUGUGAGGCGGUGGGUGCGCGGGGAGUCAAAGGCCCACGUUGAAUUGUCAUGACUCCUUGCAUUAGGCGGGAUGAUCCUGGGGUGGUGAUGGAGAGGAGAAGGCCUGGGGUGGUCUCCAAAACCCUGAGUAGAUUUUGAUUUUUUUUUUAUUUGAUUUCUUUAUUUAAGUGUCAUGCUUCAAAGAAGCCCAGCCCUUAGGGGCUUAUAAGACACUUCAUCUCAAAAACAGAAACAAUGAUCAAAUAUACAAGUUGGAAACAACCAAGAUACAAAACAAAUGUGCAAUAAUAAAGAUGCACAGUCCUCAUGAUUAGGACAGUGAACCCUAAUCUAAUCCAUUGAUAUGUCUCACUUAAAGGGCCAGUGUGUAAAAUGGGUUAAACAGUGACAUCAGUGGUCAAAUUCUAGAUUGCAGGGCUCACUCACUCACCCCUCCCGUCGGGUAAAUGACGGCAGCCUCGUAGGGACAAAAAGCCUUGCGCACGACUUUUUCAGGAGUAGGUCUAUCUAAUCUCUCUCUUUAUAGCGAUCAUACACUUGUAUAAACAUAUUAAUGGGUAGAAUAUUCAGAUUCAGAUUCAGACUGACAAUAAACCAUGCCAAACAUUACACACUGGCCCUUUAAAAAGCAAGGAUUGCCUUCUAUUCCAGGCUUUGAAAAUAAAAUUAAAACCUCAGUCUUAAAUAACCGCUCCAACUUCUGACCAUCAUCUGCCCAAAAUAAAUCAGCUUUUUGUUUUUGCAUUUCAUCAAACAAGGGAACCCUUAAAUCCUCAUGCUGUGAACAAUAAAACAUAAAAUGAAAUUCAUUUUCAACCUCUUUCAGAUCACAGACAUUACAUAUCCUAUUGUCUUCAGGUACCGCAGUAAACCGCCCCACUUCAAUAGCGAGGGGUAGGAUACCAGCUCUGAGCUGAGCACACAGUGACCUCUGGCUUCUGGUUAGAAAGGAAGUAACGUAGGGUUCAGGGCCAAAACUCUGCUUCAUUUGAACAUAUGAUCUAAGCUUGAAGUGGGGGUUGGAGGGCUGCGUCCUAGAGCCAUGUCUUUGAGGGACUUUGCAAAUAUCCUCACCCUAUCUCUUUGUAGAUGGAGUCCAUCAUAGAGGUCCCAUGUCCCAAUGGGUGGGUGGAGGGCCAGGUGGACAUUGGGUAAUGUGGCACAUCCUCUUCUGAUCUCCAUAUUAAUAUCAUUGAUGAUAUGAGGAGGAGUGUCUGCCCUGGGUAGCAGGGUGGAGACCACAAUGCGGGUGUCAGGGAACUCCUUACUGGCCUGCUCCACCAUCUUCUUCACUGCCUCAGCAGUGUCCUUAUGGAGGCGGUGCAAGUCAUUUGUUCCUGUGUGGAUCACCAGACAUUCAGGGUUCUUGAUCUCUUUUUUCAAUAACUUCAUUGCUUGGCCUGUGGUGCUGCAGCGUUUAGACAGCACUUUCUUAACAGGAAAAAGCUAGUUUGUCAGCCAGCAGGACCACUUGUUGGUCUUGCUCCUCAUGCUGAGUGCAGGAAAGCUGGGAUGGACAGAGCUGGCUGUUGGUAGCUGGUUGUGUGGCUGGAUCAGCAGGUGCCAGGGUGUUGCUGGGCAGAGAAGGUUGGAUAGAGACGAGGCAGGGGUCUGCGUCACUGGCAAGGAGAGUAUGUGUCUCUGUACUUCUCAUUGUGGGAACUGAUGAGAGUUUGACAGGUGUUGGAUUUGCCUGGUGAGGCUCCCGUCUCUCUUCUUAGCAUGAUCCUUCCCAUUGGCAAGCUGAGCACGGAAUACACUGUUCUCCUGUUUGAGUGCCUCUAGACGAAGUCUAGAAGUCCGAAGUCAGAUGCCAAGGUCUGGUUGUCUCUCUUGAGAUGCUGGAACUCCUCUUUAAGGUGCUGUAGAGCGUUGUCUGAGGGGUCAGACAGCCUAGCCUGAGUUUGCUCUUUAAAUUCAGCAUAGUCUAGCUCCAGCAGGGCUAGACUCUCCUUCAUCUGGUUGGUGGAGGGGCAGAGAUGGAUAAAGUGGUGGGGUUCUCUGCUGGGCUCUCACCAUCUUCACUGUCAGAGAGGGCAAUGAUUCUCUUGGUGUCCACCUCAUUUUUAAACAAGGGGAAUGCCUCUUCAAAUGAAUCCAUGUUAGCUUCAUUUCCUUGUAUCAUGAUCUUUCCUUUGGUGUGGUAUGUGAUGGUAAGCAGAGGGUCAUCAAGGUCAAGGUUUUACAGAUCUUUAAUUGAUAAGUGUUCAGGAGCUCAUUCUUUUUGCAGCUUACUCUCUGUCUCUCUCUCUGUCUGUCUCUGUGUCUUUCAUUCUCUUUCUCUUUUUUCUCUUUGUCUCUCUGUUUCUCUCUCUUAAUCUUCAAUUUAAUGGACUUUUUUGAAAUGGAAUUGUCAGUGUGUAGGACUUCUGUUGUUGAUUUACAAGAGGAGCCCACACUUCACUAUCAUACAGUAAUGUUGGUUCAAUUAUAAAUUGGAAUAUUUUGAGCCAGAUUCUAACUAGGUGUAUCUUUGCUUGAAAAACUUUUACAUAGCAUAUAAAUCUCUGCUUCCCAUGUCUCUGAGAUCAUUAACAGUCAGGUUGAUACUUCCUGUUGAGGUAAUUUUUAGUCCCAGAUAUGUGUAGGUGGUUGUGUGUGGGUUCUCUGUCAGUGGAGCCCAGCAGGAAUCUGAUUGGGUUUCCCUGACACCUGGGUUGUUUCUGGAAGACCAUAUUUUUAGUCUUUUCUAGAUUGACUGUCGGGCCCAGGUGUGACAGACGUUUUGUAGAUGACCCAGUUGUUGUUUUAAUGCUUCCUUGGAUAGAGCUAACAAUAUUAGAUCAUCUGCAAAAAGGAGGCAUUUAAUGUCUGUGUUAGAAAUGCUGAGUCCAAGGAUAUCUGACUGUUCUAGUGGUUUUCAUCAAUAUAAAUGUUAAACAGGGUGGGGCUGAGGCUGCAGCCCUGUUUCACCCCUCUACUUUAGGGGAAGAAAUCUGUUUCCAUAUUGCCAAUUUCCACGGCACAUUUACUUGGUUUUAAGGUAUACCGUGAUAUAAAAGUUGAUGGUUAUCAUAUGGUGUAUAUUUGCUUAUCUACAAUAUUGAAAAAAAUCUCCACUUUAUUUUAGGUAUUUUUUAAGGGGAGACUUUUUACAUACAUAUGCUUUAACAAAAUGGUUUCAAAUUGUAAUGAUAGCAAUAAAAUGUUUGUUCAUCCAACAAUAAUCCUUCUGUCUUCACUCCUUUAAGGGUCAUUCUUCCUGAUAAUAAAGAUUUUGUAAUAUUGUGAUACCGCGAUAUUUUCUAAGAUGGUUAGCGUACCAUGAAAAUCUUUUACCAUUGCAACUAUACAAUCCAUUAUGUCAAAAUGAGUCUCUCUGUUUCUCUUUUUCUCGCUGUCUCUCUCUCUCUCUCUCUCUCUCUCUCUCUCUCUCUCUCUCUCUCACUCACUCACUCACUCACUCACUCACUCACUCACACUCACACUCACACACACACACACACACACACACACACACACACACACACACACCAGUGGCGGCUGCUGGUCUUUCAAACGGGAAGCUCACUUUAAGUCAUAAAACAUGACAUCAUGAAAUUUGUCAUAUUGUAGCGAGGCAGUAACUUAUUAAAGGAACAUUUAAUUGAAGCCAUUUUUCAACCACACUCAUGCCACAGAACCACAGCAAAACACACCUCAAAGAUUUUCAGAUGGGUUUAAACAACUGAACUGUACUGUACAAAUGGAGAAAAUGAGCUAUAUCGCUUAUGGAAAUAAAGAACUCCAGAAGGCACUCUGUCAGAAGACUCCAUUCGCCAAUGCCGGUGUGUAUUUCCAAAGCGCUCCUCUCCCGCCUACCGCUCCAUUAGGUCCCAGGGAAGCUGAUCCUCCCUGGAAGUGACGAUUUUGUCACAUUUAUCCAGUGACCGUCUUGCUUUGCUGCAUGAAAAAAACCUGCUCAGUGCUGUCUCAUAGGAAUGCUCGGAGGCUCUGCGUCCACUGUGUUGACAUGACAAUGUAUGACAGGGAGGUCGCAUUUGAAAACUGGUGAUAAACAGCUGAUGUUUUAACAUCAUAGUUAUGUUAAACGCAUCCUAGCGCACGUUUAAUGCAAUGUAAAUUCUUAUUUUGAUGUAAAUUCAAUAGUGCAUAUUUGACCAUUUCUUCUAUGAAAUUUUGGGGGAAGUUCAACCUUCCUUGUUGUCUCAGCAAUCGCCCCUGACACACACACACACCUAACUGAGCCGUGUGUAGACUGGCCCUCCUCUCCAUGCAGUCAGAAUCAAAACAUGAUCCUGCGUGGGAGGAAGGAUUGAUUUUGGCUUUUCCCCACAGAGAAGAUGGCUGGCCAAAUUCCUGAAUAGAAUCAGUCAUAGAUGGUUAGUAUCGUGUAUACUUCUGCACAAAUGUGUCCAAAACUCCAAAUGAAACUUGAAAAGGCUCUAAAGGGACCACAGGUAUUAACAAAACAGAGUACCUAGAAACUUAAAACACAUAUUUGGAAGCUGCACAGUCCGAGCAGUGUGAUUAGCUAUUCAGUUAAUUUGUUCAGAAUAUUUCCAGGCUCCAGCCAGGGCUGCUGUGGCAGCUGAAGCAGAGAGGGUCAGGAAGGGAUAACUGUAGGGGAUGAAGACUGAGAUGUGGGAAAGGAGGAGGACAGCAGCCAACAUGCUGCUGUGGAAAGAGCCAGUUUGGGCAGAAGCAACAGGUGAGAUUGACAGCAGACAUAUAAAUGCAGAGCAGGUCAGAAAAGCAGGUAACUCAUUUCUGUUCUUCUGUGCCUAGUAGAGGCACUGGAUUUCAUCCAGAGCUGCUCAAUAAGUUUCACUUUAAGCCUUUGAUGUACCACAGAAAGCAUGUUAAAUUUAGUAUCUGCAUGUGCCCUAUUAUGAAUAAACUAUCAGGAAUAAAGUUUUAAUUUCUCUUUUUUGUUUUUCAUCUCAUAUAUGUAAUUUCAAGAUUAAAAAUGAUCACAAAUAAAAAUAAAUGUUCCUAUUCAUAUUUUGAGCAUGAUUGCUUCACUUUUUAGGGUGUUUUUUUGACUGUGCAGGAACCAUAAUAAGCCUGCACCUAAGAGAGGUCAACGAGAGCUUUUGUUGAGCUUGGAGCAGUCAAAUACACAAGAGAUUACUUGGAACAACGCAUCACUAUUAGGGAUGGGCAGCACAAGCAAAAACACUAUUCGAAAAUCGUGGCAACUAUUAGACAAUUUUUUGAAUAAUCGCCCCCAAACCCCCCCCACCCCCACCCGGAGCCACGCACACAGAGAUCCAUUCAUCAUUAAAUGCCCCAACAUUCUCGGGCGGAACAUACGCGCAACGGACUCCACGGAGGUCCGCGCGGACUCAAAGCAGACGUCCGCAAGCCCUGUGUGCGCAAAGCUCCGCGCACCAAUGACUGCUCAGCAUGUAUUUUUCACAUCGCGGGGAUUUUCCACGGAUAUUUUUACAGGAAACUACAACAUGGAAGUGCUCUUGACUAUGAAAGCCCGAAUGACUGCGGACAUACCUCGCAGAGUAGUAGUCUCUGCAUGUUUCUCCUGUUUGUAGAAGAGCAUCAAACUAGCUGGUAGCCCAUCUCACACCGCUGUAGCAAUCCUAUACUGCCCUCGUGCGGUUAGGAGCUGAAUUGCAUGUCAAAUAAAGGGGGGAAAUAAGACAGUGAAUAGUAAUAGUUGCAUUAAAAAAUCGAUAUUUCAAAAAUAAAACGACUAUUCGAAAUUUGAAAAUUGUGACCCAUCCCUAAUCACUAUGGAGCAGCGCCAGGACAGCAUCAGAUGCCAGGCCACUCUUGCGUCUGGUAGGUUCCCAUUUCAACCGCACGUGUAUAGUAAUACAACUUGAGUAUAUUCAAAUAAUUUCUAACCAUUUUGUUGUUUACAGGCAUCUAACUGAAGGACUCCUUUGAGCCCACUGUUGUUUUGGAGCAUGAGGCAAUCAUUGGUGGGUUCAAGUGCCUUUACUGGCUCAUAAAAAAUGAACUGGCCCACCACACAAACUACCCAAAUCAGUUAAGCCUGAUGAGUGUCCAGGGUGCAUCUACGUCUGAAAAUUAAAGGACACACUAGCUCUCUUUGCACAAGACCAUCAAGCCCCAAUUGAGGAACCUGAGUGCUGUCCCUUGGAGCACUGGCAGAGGAGGCAAUGGGGAGAAGAUGUCCAGUGGCAAAGUGACUCCAUACAUUCUGUGCUAAGUACAGAUUUGUAGCAGCAGCACAAGUUUAGGUUCCUCUCACAAUUCAGACUCUUAGGAGCAUCAAAGAGGCCGGACAGACUCCACUCACUGGAUCAUUCCUGUCCCGCCUCCAUUAGAACCCUGAUGAGCCCAAAGACGUUGAGAGUUCAACAUACGUACAGGGCGAGAAGUCCAAGAAGUGCUUAGCGAGGAGCAGUGGGCCAGAAUCCUGCAGGAGGUUACAUAACUGGCCUGGAAACACACGUGGACAGGAGGUUCCAUGAUCUGGACGUCUUUGGGGCCCUCAGUGCUUAGGCUCUGCAGUCAGCUGCUCUACAGGAUGAUACUACUUGUUCAAAAAUCAUAUUUUCAUUGGGGCAUUCAGAAGUACUGCUGGGCUAACCUCUGCCCAUGCCUGAGCCUCCUUGUUAGCAUUGCACUAGCUGUCCCUGUUUCCAUUGUGAACUGUGAAUGUGACUUUUUGAUGAUUAACAGGGAAAUAGUAUCACUUUGAAAAGCACAACAAAUAACUACACAUUUUCUUUAUGUUAGGAUCUCCAUAAUGGUCCCUGUCUUCCUUGGUCCCAGAGGCCUUCCCAUAUGAUAGGGCGUUGGAAUAUUUUUUCAGAAUCCCCAUAAAAUUAAAUAUUAAGACAAGUUGGCUGUGGAGCAGUCACUUAAAGUGUAGCAUACUCACUUUAUAUAUACUGUAUUUUUUAAAUUAUUUGACACAGUGUUGCAGUUUCAAAAAUGUUCUGGCACACCAAUAAGUCUUAGUUACGGGGGUACAGGAUUAAAAACUCUUUGCUCAGAAAGAUUGUGUAUAUGAACAUAGUCUCAUGAAGGCCUGAGGACCAAAAUGUUUAGCCUGCUUAACAUUUUUUCUGAACACCAGUUUUGCCUCUGAGGACCAGAUUUACUAAGAAAAUGACACUGAAGUUGAUGCAAUGCAGCUUUUAUUAUGUAUUUAUUACGUUCAGUUAAAAGUCACCCAUUUCAUCCAGCUAAAAUGAUUUAUUUUCCUUGAUGUCAGCUUUCAUGAAAGAUGCUGUUGCAAAAUGGCUGCAGUAUCAAUAUCAUCCACCAGAUAAACUUGAUAACAUGUUGACACAAAUAUUAUGGUUUACUAGCAGUUUGUUUAUAGAGGAUAUCCCUUAUAUAAAUAAACAGUUAUUAAAUAAAAAACACGAUAAUAAUAACUGAUUUAAUAGAUAGCAACAAUACGAUUAUGACCUUCCAGAAAUUCUCACAAUUAGAUGGUCCUUUAUGUACACCACUAGAAUGUAAUAAAAAUUAUUGUAUGAUCAUCCAACAUUUGGGGAAAAAUGCUAUAACUAAAAAGCCAAGACAACAAUUAGUAUGCUGCCAAUAUAUUAGAGACCAGUCAAUAUAACUUAGAUAAGUACAAUAUCACUCCAAUCAAGUGGUGGCUGUAGCUCAGUCCAUAGGGACUUGGGUUGGGAACCGGAGGGUCACCUGUUCAAGUCCCCAUCCGGCCCAAAUAUGGAGCGUGGACUGGUGGCUGGGGAGGUGCCAGUUCACCUCCUGGGCACUGCCGAGGUGCCCCUGAGCAAGGCACUGAACCCCCCCCAACCGCACGGGGCACCUGUCCAUGGCAGCCCCCCCUCACUCUGACAUCUCUCCACUUUGUCAACUCUACUUCGUGCAUGUAUAGGUCCUGUUUGUGCAUGUGUGUGUCUUUCGGACCUGUGUGUUAAUGACAAAAGAGUGAAAAAACUGAAUUUCCCCUCGGGGAUUAAUAAAAUAUAUAAAAUUAAAUUAGAUUAAAAAAAAUACCUCCAAUAAGUGGGAAGACUCUAUUUAUAUAACAAUUCUAUGGAAAGAUGUGUUUAACAUUAUUUAUGAAGAGAGAGGAGGAGCGCACACCAGGGUUGGCGAGGUGCUGACCAUUGAUGGAAAAAAUACAAAUUUGAAAAAAAGAUGUCAGGUGAACACUCUAAAAAUAUUUUCUUUUAUUCAAAUACCGAUGUUUCGACUAGACCGUCUUCAUCAGGGUUUUUUUUAACAUUAUUCAUAACACGACCUAAGAUGUAUCUGUAUGCAUAAUACAAAGGUGGAUAAUAGAGCACAUAUUAGAGCACAAACUUCUCGUGUUUAUUUAAAGGGCCAGUGUGUAAUAUUUGGCAUGGUUUAUUGUCAAUCUGAAUCUGAAUCUGAAUAUUCUACCCAUUAAUAUGUUUAUACAAGUGUAUAAUUGCUAUAAAAUAAAAUUUGUUUGGUUUUCGUAGCUAUAUAUAAUUAUGCUUUAUAUAUAUAUAUAUAUAUAUAUAUAUAUAUAUAUACACAUAUAGCAAGGGCCUUGCUUUAGAGAGGUCGCCAUCUUGCGCCGCCAUGUAUGUACGGCAGACCGAGCGGACAAUCCAGCCAGCCAGAGAACGCGUUUCGCGUGUAUAAAUAAACCAACAAAGACAGCGGAGGGAAGGAAGAAGGAGGAGGAAACAGCAGAGAGUGUUAGUAGUUUGUCGAUAGAGAGUAGUGAAAAGUUUUUUUAGUUAUAAAGUUUGUGAAUGGACCACACUUACCACGCAACAGGAGAGAAUGAACCCGAACCGUCAUCUGUAAGGAAAAGAAGACGCAACUUCACUCCUUGUGAUGCACUCUCUGCGGCGCUUUUCCUCCUGAUGAUAUAUCUCCCCAACGAUGGUAGCAGUAGCACCGAAUCCCAUUCUGUGCAUUCAGCCUAUCUUCUCGCCCACUCAGCAUCAAACACAUGGAGUUCCUCAUCUGUAUGCUCCGGCUCAAACAGGUAUGGCUCUGGGUCUGCGUCCGCUACAAGAAACUCUUCAAAAUCGUGUUCAAAGUCGUCAAUUGCAGCUACUAUAGUCGGAGAUAUUGCUAGGCUAAAUAAACAGCUGAGCUCUGUUUACCGGCUACGCUGUCAGUCAGUGUGGGCUGGAUAUUGGUGGAGCAGAGGUGGGAGGGGGGUCCCCACUAAGUAUGGUAAACAAGUAUGUGUGUAUGAAGUGUGUCUGUUACGUCAGAAGAGUCAGAGUUUGGGACGGAGUCUUUUACACCCUGGAGUGUUACUAGAGUUUUUGGAGUGCUCAAAUAAACUGGCCUUUUUCCCCGAACGCUCCUCUGGUCUCCUGCUCGUGAGGGAUUCAUUACAAUAUCGUAACGUGGUUUAGAUUUCUAAAUAAAUAUUCACCUCGUCGCUAGAUAGACCUACUCCUGAAAAACUCGUGCGCAAGGCUUUUUGUCCCUACAAGGCCACCGUCAUUUACCCAACGGGAGGGGUGAGCGAGUGAGCCCUGCAAUCUAGAAUUUGACCACUGAUGUCACUGUUUUCAACCCAUUUUACACACUGGCCCUUUAAAUACAAUCAAUUUUAGCAGAUGGUUAGAUGUUAGCUUUCACUGUUAUUUUAUUGGUAACCUGAACGCUGGCUACUGUGGGCCAUAGCCAUUGCCAAAACAGUGAGAUACCUGAUGUAAGCGCUGUAUUAGCCACUUGUGAGUCUUCUCCUGUUCACCAGCAGGAAUAAACACAUCCCUCCUUAGCUCUUAGCCAGCUACAGCUUUGCCAUCUCCCUCAGUUUACCAAGCUGACAAUAUGUUCACUUUGUUAUAAUCUAAGACAUCUAUAAACUAGCGAUGCAUGAUAUUGGAUUUUUUUGCCAAUAGCUGGUAUGCUGAUAUGUAACACUUCAUUUGGCCGUUAACCAAUAUUGAUUUAUUCACCUUCUUACCCAACUAAAUUUAUUGAUCCUCAAGUGUCUUCUGUAGUGUAAUUAACAUUAUAUUAUACAUGCAUACUCUUAUUGUGAUGGCCCACCAGCAGAUGGAAACAUGGAAUACAAUGUUUUCCAAUGUAUGUAAUAUUCAUUCAUUGUGCAAAUUAAGAAAAAGCAUGUUGGAAGAUUCUGAUAGCUGAUUUUAAAGCUGAUAUUGGCAGAUACCAAUGAUGUGCCGAUAUUAUCGUGCAUAAAAUGGUCAGUGAUCUGAUUUAUUGUGCUAUGUUAUUUUCUCCUAUUUUUUAAUACAGAGAUUGAAGAUUUUGGAUAAUUUGUAUUAUAACCUACUAUAUUAUGAGCUCUGAUGUAUAAGUUGAUUUGUUCAGAUCAAUGACCUAUUAAACUACUACUUCCAGGUAUUUUUGUGAGUAAUGUCUGCUGCCUUAUUUGAUUGCUGGUAUCUAUGUCAUGAUGUCUGACACCUCAUUUGAUGCAGUCAUCACCUUUCCCUCUGCUCUGCCAAACCCCCUCCCACACAGUAUCAGCAAUCCUCUGCCAUGCAGUAAAGCAGUAGUCUGCUGUUUUUUGGCUGGCUGCCGUGCCAGCUUUUUCAUGCAUUAAGAAUUUUGGACUAAAAACAUCUUGGGCCCUAUUUAAAGAAAAGAAAAGAAGCAGAGUGAGACUGCGAGAGAGAAAGAGGGAGCGCGCGCGGACAAGAGAAACGUUGUUAACAAAUUGUAAAUUAUUCAAUUUAUUUUAUUUUA